ensembl:lncRNA
ACUUUCCAAAAAUGAACCCAUGUGUAUUCACAUACAUUCUAUACAUUCACUUUUAUACCAACAAAUUAAAGCAGGGAAGCAAAACAUCAAAGUGACAAUUUCUUUUGAUCAAGCACUAGAAAUUGGAUUUAUUGGAAGUCCACAUCUGCUCAUCCGAUACAUAUGAAUGGAUUUCAUCAGAGCACCUUUAGGUAAUGCCAGACACUUAAGGGAAAUGAGAUGAUUUCUCUCAAUUUCUGUGCAAUUUUUUUUUUUUUAAUAAUAACUGCCCUUUUCCUUUCACAAUGAUUGGUAGUUAUGUCUCCGAUUUGACAUAUCUUUCUAAAUCUUUAUCGGUUCAACUUUUGAAAUUUGGGGAUUCAAUUCUUGGAAAAGUUGCUUCUCUCAGGCUUCCAGGCCACUCCGGCUGUGCAAAUUUAACUUCUAUCGUGAUGGAAAUUAGGGGAAAUCCCUUGGUCUUCAGUUAUCCUUCAACCUUUAACAUUAUCCCGUCUAGAUCAUCGAGCAUUGAGAGCCGUUAACCUUCUUAGAUUGGCCUAGUGACGCCAUUUGCUCAUAUUGCAUUGUGUGACGUGCUUCAACACGCACGCACGCACACACACACACCCCCCCCGUUGUCAGGGCACGCACGUAUUUGCCAAAACAUGCUGCUGUCUUUUUCCCCAACAUGAGUGCCUGUCAACUCUCCAGAAAUCUGCGAUGUCUCCAGAUUUGUUCCCUCGAUGGGAAACUUUCUGUUUGUGUGGCAUGUUUUGUUGGUGUUUUGCGUGUAAAAUGACACUGACGUGACACGGCCAGUGUGUAUGUUUGCCCAUAAAGGAUGGAGUUUCAUGUCAUCCAUCUCCCCUGAAGGAGGAGAGAAGUAGUCGAGAGGAAAAAGUGGCUGAGGAAGAAAAAAAAUGGCACGCAAGAGGUACAUGGCUAAGCAGUGCCAGUCUCAAAUUAAGCGACAUUUCAAGGAAAGAGGAAAAUUCUUCAAUUAGACUCAUGAGGCCUCACAAAGAUGCCACCAGUUCAGCGAGCGGCACCCAUUGGAAGUCCACCUGCUUUUCCUGGCCCCAUCCUGCUGUCGCCGACGUCUAUGCCUCCAAGAGGAGCUGCUUUCAUCUCCACCGAGUUUGACCCGACCAAGUUGGCACCGAGUAGUGUAAAACACCCGGAGGACUCCAUCCAGGACUCUAUAGGAGACACAGGCAUGCCUUUGGAUAUGUGCGCCGACCACCAGCUGGGUUCUCCCACAGCACCGGUGAUGACCCUGCCGGGCACGGGAGUCAUGCAGGGUUCCAGACUGGGCAUGCCCCCUCUGCAGCCUCCCCCCAACAUGCCGAAUCCUCAUCUACCUCCUUUCCUCUCGCCUCCAAACAUGUCGCACAAUCACCCGCAAAUGAUGCCCGGACGGCCCGUGUUUUCUCCGGAGAGGUUCAGGAUGCCCAUGCCCUUUCCGCCUCGCGGCCCUCCUUUCCAUCGGCAUCUCUCCAUGGGACCAGACGGCAUGCACGACAGGGAAGGGAUGCAUUUCAGAAACGGGAGAGCAGGGUUUGGGUGCCCGCCCUUCCAGAGAGGGAGGUGGUAGAAGCAGGCAGAAUGACAGACCUGAGGGGAGAGGCGUCGGGAUCACUGUGACGGAUCAGUAUCACGACAUCUGGUUCAACAAGGAACUGCUGUAAAUAAUUGAGGGUGCUUAGACUUCUUUUAGUACCGCACCCUUUUCUUACCGUCACAUGAACAAUCACACAGACAGUGUUCUGAAUGUGAUCCACGCACCUCCAAGUUCACCAGAGGAGAGACCUUUUGUUGUAAAUACUGUACAUGCUCGUAGCUGUUUGCUAUCUUUUUGUAUAUUUGAAGUGUGUAGUUCAUGCUGAAGUCUAAUCUUAGUAGUUGGAGGGGAAAAAACAAAGGCAACGUCUGUAUUUUUGAGCGUAUUCCCUUUACCAUAGUUUUUGUCUAAGGAAGGAGACUGAAAAUCUAUAAUUCAAUCACCGUUUUGGUAUUUAGUUUUUAGCGAAAUGGCUUUUGUAACACACUAAUGUUUAAUUCCUGAGUUAAGAAGUUUGAUUUCAUUUGAAGUGGAAGAUUCAUGUCCUGCCAGCAGAGGGUAGUGUAAACCCUGUUACCGCGGCCAACCCCUGUUGUACAUUAAGGUCACACCUUGUAACUCGCAUUGAAAAUUAAAAAAAGGUUUCAAUUUGA